GACGAACGCUGGCGGCGUACUUAACACAUGCAAGUCGAACGGAAAGGCCCUGCUUGCAGGGUGCUCGAGUGGCGAACGGGUGAGUAACACGUGGGUGAUCUGCCCCUUACUUUGGGAUAAGCCUGGGAAACUGGGUCUAAUACUGGAUAGGACCAUGCUGUAGGUGGUGUGGUGGAAAGAUUAGUUUCGGUAAGGGAUGAGCUCGCGGCCUAUCAGCUUGUUGGUGGGGUAAUGGCCUACCAAGGCGUCGACGGGUAGCCGGCCUGAGAGGGUGGACGGCCACAUUGGGACUGAGAUACGGCCCAGACUCCUACGGGAGGCAGCAGUGGGGAAUAUUGCACAAUGGGCGCAAGCCUGAUGCAGCGACGCCGCGUGGGGGAUGACGGCCUUCGGGUUGUAAACUCCUUUCAGCCAUGACGAAGCCCUUGUGGUGACGGUAGUGGUAGAAGAAGCACCGGCUAACUACGUG
rnacentral:rRNA from 1 species